UACAGAGGGUGCGAGCGUUGUCCGGAAUCACUGGGCGUAAAGGGCGCGUAGGCGGCUUGGUAAGCGUGCGGUGAAAGCUCGAGGCUCAACCUCGAGUCUGUCGUGCGAACUGCCGAGCUGGAGCACGGUAGAGGCACAUGGAAUUCCGGGUGUAGCGGUGGAAUGCGUAGAGAUCCGGAAGAACACCGGUGGCGAAGGCGGUGUGCUGGGCCGUAGCUGACGCUGAUGCGCGACAGCGUGGGGAGCAAACAGG
rnacentral:rRNA from 1 species